rnacentral:rRNA from 1 species
UCUUUUGGAGAGUUUGAUCCUGGCUCAGGACGAACGCUGGCGGCGUGCCUAAUACAUGCAAGUCGAGCGGACCAAAUCGGAGCUUGCUCUGAUUUGGUCAGCGGCGGACGGGUGAGUAACACGUGGGCAACCUGCCCGCAAGACCGGGAUAACUCCGGGAAACCGGAGCUAAUACCGGAUAACACCGAAGACCGCAUGGUCUUUGGUUGAAAGGCGGCC